CCUACGGGUGGCUGCAGUGGGGAAUAGUGGACAAUGGGGGGAACCCUGAUCCAGCCAUGCCGCGUGUGUGAAGAAGGCCCUCGGGUUGUAAAGCACUUUCAGUGAGGAAGAACGCCUGGUGGUUAAUACCCAUCAGGAAAGACAUCACUCACAGAAGAAGCACCGGCUAACUCCGUGCCAGCAGCCGCGGUAAUACGGAGGGUGCGAGCGUUAAUCGGAAUUACUGGGCGUAAAGCGCGCGUAGGUGGCUUGAUAAGCCGGUUGUGAAAGCCCCGGGCUCAACCUGGGAACGGCAUCCGGAACUGUCACGCUAGAGUGCAGGAGAGGAAGGUAGAAUUCCCGGUGUAGCGGUGAAAUGCGUAGAGAUCGGGAGGAAUACCAGUGGCGAAGGCGGCCUUCUGGACUGACACUGACACUGAGGUGCGAAAGCGUGGGUAGCAAACAGGAUUAGAUACCCCUGUAGUC
rnacentral:rRNA from 1 species